UCUGGUGUUGGUUCAUAUACAUGUCAAGUAUAAACUUUGAAUCAUAACGGUUCUCAAGAUAUAGAGCGGACACGAUCUUCACCACAGGACACAGGGUUGUCAACUGAAACCAAAGUUUUUUACUUGACCUUUGACCUAGGAAGUUGUACAUACAUCAUGACACGCCCUCUGGUGGUGGUUAAUAAACAUGUAAAUUAUAAAGUAUGAAAUCAUAAUGGUUCUCUAGAUAUGGAGCGGACACAAAGUGUUACGGACGGACGGACGGACGGACAGACUGAUCACUAUAGGGGACCCGCCUUUGGCGGGGCCCUAAUAAA
rnacentral:lncRNA from 1 species